rnacentral:misc_RNA from 1 species
AAGUCGUAACAAGGUCUCCGUAGGUGAACCUGCGGAGGGAUCAUUACACAAAUAUGAAGGCGGGCUGAACCUCUGGGGUUAACAGCCUUGCUGAAUUAUUCACCCUUGUCUUUUGCGUACUUCUUGUUUCCCUUUGGAUGGGGUUCGCCCACCACUAGGACAAAACAUAAAACCUUUUGUAAUUGCAAUCAGGCGUCAGUAACAAAUUAAUAAUUACAA